GUCGUGAGAUGUUCGGGUUAAGUCCCGCAACGAGCGCAACCCUUGCCUUUAGUUGCCAGCAGUUCGGCUGGGCACUCUAAAGGGACUGCCGGUGUUAAACCGGAGGAAGGUGGGGAUGACGUCAAGUCCUCAUGGCCUUUAUGACCAGGGCUACACACGUACUACAAUGGCCGAUACAAAGGGCAGCGACACUGCGAGGUGAAGCCAAUCCCGUAAAAUCGGUCUCAGUCCGGAUUGAAGUCUGCAACUCGACUUCAUGAAGUCGGAAUCGCUAGUAAUCGCGGAUCAGAACGCCGCGGUGAAUACGUUCCCGGGCCUU
rnacentral:rRNA from 1 species